rnacentral:lncRNA from 1 species
GGCUCGCAGCCCUCAUUUGAGACAAGUUUCCAGAGAAAACACUUGGAGAAAGCGUUCGAUCAGUCACCGGGCUGGAGCCGCGAGACGCGAUUCCGCGGUGGCCUCAGCUCAGCUCAGCUCAGCUCAGCUCACCGCGGCGCAGCCGGCCCCGACGGCCAGCCGGGCUGCGGGCUCCCGGCAGCGAGGUGCCUCCCAUCCCCGCCCCCGCGGCUCGGCGCCGCCGCCCGCGUUACCUCCGCGCCGCUGACCGAACCCGAGCCCCGUCCCGCGGCUCCCGCCGGGGCCCCGAGCGUCCCCGCUCGCCGCUCACCUCGGGCUGCGGCGGGGCUCCCCCGGCGCCGGGCGCAACCCGGAGGAAGGGGCGGGGGGGCUCCUCCUUCCCCUCCUCGGCCCGCCCGCCGCGAGCUACCUGGGCCGCCCCCCGCCCCGGGCCCGGCCGGCCCCUGCCCUCCGUCCUCCGCCCUCCCCCCUGGGUUGCGGGCCGGGGCGGGCGCGGCCUCGCCUCCCCGCCGCCCCCCCGGGGACAUCCCCCGGCCGGGGACGGGAGCCCGGCGCCGAGCGCUCGUCCCCGCGGCUCCUGCGGGAGGGAGCAGGAAUUCGGCAAGAAUUUCUCCCGGCGGCGACCUCGGCGCUCGUGCCGGGAGAAGCCCGAGCCCGAGCCGGGCCCCCGAGGGACGCGGCGGCCGAUUUCAGCGCCGCGGACACGAGGAACCGCGUUUUACCGACGGCGCUUCGCCCGCGUUUGUGCUGGAAAUACGUUUCCCACCCCGCCCCGCAUUGUGCUCUCCGGGAGGGCUGACCCCGCGGUCCUCCGCGAGCGCCCGGGCUGAUAAGGACGGGAAAACUAUUGUAUUAACAAAAGGAACGGAAAGAAAGCGGUGUGCCCCCGCCUUCAGGGACGCCUCAAGCGGGCCCCUGGGAGGAAGGCAUCCCGGGGUGACGCCGGGCCGCGAGAACCGGCUGCACCCUUGCACGGCGCAGCCCCCAUCUGGCGGCCGCUCCGUUCACCACUCAUCAGCAAUGGAAGCGUCAGGAAUAACGUCUGUCCUUCCCCGCUCCGAGGCCGAGUUAACCAGCGGCUGUCUGCGAGGACUGCCUUCUCCUCCUGCAGGGCGCUGA